rnacentral:rRNA from 1 species
GACGAACGCUGGCGGCGUGCUUAACACAUGCAAGUCGAACGGAAAGGCCCUGCUUGCAGGGUGCUCGAGUGGCGAACGGGUGAGUAACACGUGGGUGAUCUGCCCCUUACUUUGGGAUAAGCCUGGGAAACUGGGUCUAGUACUGGAUAGGACCAUGCUGUAGGUGGUGUGGUGGAAAGAUUAGUUUCGGUAAGGGAUGAGAUCGCGGCCUAUCAGCUUGUUGGUGGGGUAAUGGCCUACCAAGGCGUCGACGGGUAGCCGGCCUGAGAGGGUGGACGGCCACGUUGGGACUGCGAUACGGCGCAGACGCCUACGGGAGGCAGCAGUGGGGAAUAUUGCACAAUAGGCGCAAGCCGGAUGCGGCGACGCCGCGUGGGGGGUGACGGCCUUCGGGUUGUAAACUCCUUUCAGCCAUGACGAAGCCCUUGUGGUGACGGUAGUGGUAGAAGAAGCACCGGCUAACUACGUG